rnacentral:rRNA from 1 species
UACGUAGGGUGCAAGCGUUAAUCGGAAUUACUGGGCGUAAAGCGUGCGCAGGCGGUUUUGUAAGUCAGGGGUGAAAUCCCGGGGCUCAACCUCGGAACUGCCUUUGAUACUGCAAAUCUCGAGUCCGGAGAGGUGAGUGGAAUUCCUAGUGUAGAGGUGAAAUUCGUAGAUAUUCGGAAGAACACCAGUGGCGAAGGCGGCUCACUGGACUGGUAUUGACGCUGAGGUGCGAAAGCGUGGGGAGCAAACAGGG